CCACCUCCAUCAACUGAAUCCCAGACAGUUUUUGCGGACAAUAACCCCCUACCUGCUACACAGGACAGAACUUCACCAGCAGCCAAUGAGCCUCAGCAGAUGGACUUCGUUUCAGUUCGCCAAACUAUAGAGGACGUUGCUGCAGACCUUCUUCGGCGGCUGAUGCAGACAGCUGGUGCAAUCAUAUAUGGGCAACAUGUGGACACAGGUGCAACACAUACAUACCAAGCCCCCUCUUCAGAGAAGCUGUAAUGGAGGCAGUGAUGUGCUUGGAAGAUGCUUCAAAUGGUGAGAACACCAAUAUUAGGAAGGAAGCCGUAAAAACCAGAGGGACCCAUCAGAGAUCAGCUGCUCAGUCAAUUAUCUCUUGAUCAUGAAACCUAUUAUCAUUAUUUGUAACAAGACCACUGCAU